CCUACGGGCGGCAGCAGUGGGGAAUAUUGGACAAUGGGCGAAAGCCUGAUCCAGCCAUGCCGCGUGUGUGAAGAAGGCCUUCGGGUUGUAAAGCACUUUCAGUGGGGAAGAAAGCCUUGGGGCUAAUACCCUCGAGGAAGGACAUCACCCACAGAAGAAGCACCGGCUAACUCCGUGCCAGCAGCCGCGGUAAUACGGAGGGUGCGAGCGUUAAUCGGAAUUACUGGGCGUAAAGCGCGCGUAGGCGGUCUGAUAAGCCGGUUGUGAAAGCCCCGGGCUCAACCUGGGAACGGCAUCCGGAACUGUCAGGCUAGAGUGCAGGAGAGGAAGGUAGAAUUCCCGGUGUAGCGGUGAAAUGCGUAGAGAUCGGGAAGAAUACCAGUGGCGAAGGCGGCCUUCUGGACUGACACUGACGCUGAGGUGCGAAAGCGUGGGUAGCAAACAGGAUUAGAUACCCGAGUAGUC
rnacentral:rRNA from 1 species